rnacentral:tRNA from 1 species
GUCGUUAGCUCAGUUGGUAGAGCAGUUGGCUUUUAACCAAUUGGUCGUAGGUUCGAAUCCCACACGACCCACCA